GGUAUUUUGACUAUACGAAGGUAUUGAAAUAAGAUUUUAAAUGAGUGCUAAGAGAAUGAUUAAACAAUUAAAAGCUUUCUUUAAUUGAAUAAUUGAAUUUAAUUUUUUAGUGCAAAAGCAAAAAUAAAAAUUAGGGACAAGAAGACCCUAUGAAUUUUUUAUUAAAUUUUGUAAAACUUUAUAUAAAAUUUAAUUUAAUUGGGGUGAUGGAAAAAGAAUAAAUAUCUUUUUUUUAAAAAAAAAUUGGUUCCGUUUUUAGCGAUUAAAUGAAAAAAAUACUCUAGGGAUAACAGCGUAAUAAUUUUGGAUAGUUCAUAUAGAUAAAAUAGUUUGCGACCUCGAUGUUGGAUUAGGAUUCUUUUUUGGUGAAGAAGU
rnacentral:rRNA from 1 species